rnacentral:rRNA from 1 species
AUGAUUAAAAUUGAUUUAGCCAAAGCUUUCGACAGAAUUGAAUGGGACUUUAUCAUGCAAGCGCUCUCACGUAAAAUGUUGCAUGGCCAUUUCAUAAAUUUGAUCCAUGCUUGUAUUGCAACCCCCACUUUUUCGUUGAUCAUUAAUGGCCAGUCAUAUGGUUGUUUCAAAAGUAACAGAGGUAUCAAACAAUGUUGCCCUUUAUCCUCUUAUUUGUUUGACCUUGCAAUUAAUGAACUCUCCAUUUCCAUGCAGGAAUCCAUGUAUUUAACGGGGAUUUCUUUAGGGCCAGAAUGUCCUCCUAUCCAUUCUCUUAUGUUUGCUGAUGAUUUAUUGAUCUGCGGACAGGCUACUAUCAAUGAAGCAUGCCACAUCCACCACAUCCUUCAAAGAUGUUGUAGCCUUUCAGGUCAAAUGCCAAACUGGAGUAAGUCUGGACUUAUAUUCAGCAAGAAUGUUACCACCAACAUUAAAUAG